GGAUGAACGCUGGCAGCGUGCCUAAUACAUGCACGUCGAGCGAACGGACGAGAAGCUUGCUUCUCUGAUGUUAGCGGCGGACGGGUGAGUAACACGUGGAUAACCUACCUAUAAGACUGGGAUAACUUCGGGAAACCGGAGCUAAUACCGGAUGAUAUUUUGAACCGCAUGGUUCAAAAGUGAAAGACGGUCUUGCUGUCACUUAUAGAUGGAUCCGCGCUGCAUUAGCUAGUUGGUAAGGUAACGGCUUACCAAGGCAACGAUGCAUAGCCGACCUGAGAGGGUGAUCGGCCACACUGGAACUGAGACACGGUCCAGACUCCUACGGGAGGCAGCAGUAGGGAAUCUUCCGCAAUGGGCGAAAGCCUGACGGAGCAACGCCGCGUGAGUGAUGAAGGUCUUCGGAUCGUAAAACUCUGUUAUUAGGGAAGAACAUAUGUGUAAGUAACUGUGCACAUCUUGACGGUACCUAAUCAGAAAGCCACGGCUAACUACGUG
rnacentral:rRNA from 1 species